rnacentral:lncRNA from 1 species
GAGCUCUAAGAAAAGCUUUUUGACUGUGAUUUAUUGAAUCCUGUAGGAGGCACGGCAGAAAUCAGGGUAUUACAUUAAGAACUUGCCGAGCUCAUUCUGAAUUCUCAGCUUGCCCUCCAGCAUAUCAGCAGUGCCUACAAAUGUAAUAGGAACGCUUCCCAUUCUAUCAUUCAGGUAAUUAAUAAACACACCAGGCCAAGAGCAAACUGAGGGCUUGAUUCUUGAUUACCUCUUAUAUUAAGGAAUAUUGUCUGCUAACUUUACACCCCAGGAAUAAUUUACACACAGAAACACAAGUCAAUUUGAAGUCAAUUUGAGCCCAGACUGAAAAAUGAGGUCCUUACAGGGCAGACGAAUUGGUAACAGAGAUGGUUGCAGGUCCUCAUCCCAGCAGGAGAGCAAUAAACAAGAACAUGCACUUAAAGCCCAUUUGGAGAGAACGUCCAAUGGCUACAGCAGUUUUCAUGCCACCAAUUUUCUUUCUAUCAGCCACAGCAGUUGCAUUCACCGCAGGAAACCUACUAUCAUCUGUAACAAUACAUGCCUUACACUUUGGGAUUUAGGACACUUUGAAAUACUUUUCCCCAUGUUUUUAAAUCCCGUGCACAGACAUACAGAAGUAUCUGAUUUCCUUGCUGCCUCAGCCCUUAUGCAGUGAGACUCCUACACAAACGAAGCUGAAUAACAAGAACGUUUUGCUAUUAGAAACCCCAGUGAUCAAAGCAGUUAGCAUCCGUAGGCUUACAGCAAACGCGGGGGCUGCUUUGAACCAGAAUACAAAACCUGUUAUUACCGUCUCCCAAAGUGAGGUCCAGUCAAGCACAGCACCUAACAGCAACACCACAUUGUUUGGGAAAAAGGGUAAGAAGUUGGUAAUGGGCGGCUGCUCCUCCUAACACCUUCCCCAGGUCUAACAGUGCCCUGAGUGUUUUCUGAGCUGGCAUUUCUUAGCACCUGGCUCAUCAUCUGUGCAAGCUUCCACUCCAAUCAUUUCAACUAUUACUUGGACUGAUUUCAGUAUCGCAUCUCUUGAAACGGAGGGAAUUAAAGCCCUGGAAUCCCGAACUGCAUAGAGUGCCACAGCUCCAUCGAUUUUCAUCUCAUAAUGCCAAUAUGCACCAACCAACGAUGUGACCUAAAACGUUUUGGAAGGAAUCAUUGUAUUAAAUUGCUCGCUUUUCCACAGGGACAGUGGGAAAAAAGGCAGUCUUUAAAGGAUGAGAAUAAACCAGCUACUGCAAUCUAACCUGCAAGUGCUGCACAACUGAAUGCCGGUGCUGCUGAAACCAAUGCAAGGGCACAGUUUUAAUGAAGCUCUCCUAAAAAUGCAUAAGCGGUAAUUGCAUGAUUGAAGUGAAGACCUGAGAAACAAGGUUAAACAGGAAACGAAGGCGGAAGGUAUAGCUCUGAUUGCUGAAAUCUCAGCUCAAACGUUUAUAAGCCGCUCAUCAGAGAAAAAGACAUUACAAUACAUUUUCCACAUUGGGGCAGAUCUUCUCAGAUCGGGUCCUGCGUGUCUGAAGAUGAAAGACGUGCAGAUCAUCAGCAUGUAGAUGAAUGGAGAUGAGGAAGGAAUCGUGCCUCACUUCCACCUCCAGAGCUCUUUUAUCACUCAUGAAUGUGAAUGUGCUCGGCCUUUUAAAUUCACAGCUUCUGCUGUCCCACCACAAAUACACUGCAAAACAUAUAAACCAUUGCAGCAGGUAGUCUGCCCACCCUUUAUACCGCGUCUGUUGUAGUUUGUGCUGUACAGCAGCAAUCUAAGCCCUCCUGGUGGUGUUUUAAAAUAGCUGUUGAUGAACGGAAUAGAGAAGAAGAGGAUAAAGAACCAACUUUUAUUCGCUGCGCUGCUUUGUCCAUAACAGAACCGGAGGCUUUUGUUUCUGUGACUCGGUUUUCUUACCUGUAAAAGGAGGAUAACACAUCCACACGUCUCUGAGCAAUGGCGAAAUUCACUUCAGCACGGGCACAGUGCUCAUUCUGAUUGCCAAACGGCAAGUGCUACACAAAUGCAAGGUAUUAUUACUAUACACUGUAAACACAAACCUGCGAAAAUUAACACAGUGUCAGGUUUUUUUUUUCCCUCUUGAGCUGCCCUUUUGUUUCACAAACAAGAGUCACUGGCAUCCUAAAGCACUGGGAGGAAACAACAGACACAGGACUCUGUGUGCACACACGCUGAAGUGGGGGAAGCCAAUGCAGUGAAGCACAGGGCCAGGCUGCAGUCUGAACCUCCACGUUCCCACAGAGCCCUGCUGUAUAUUUCUGUAAGGUCUCUCUUUACUCUCUUGCAAUGCCACGUACACGAUGGCCUUACUGCUGCUUUUUCCCCAUCCUCCCCAUCUGUGGGGUAAUUCCACAGCCCCGUGGCAGGACAACCUUCCAUUUGGGAUUUCAAAGGGAGCACGAGGCUCAAGGAACUCUUUAUAGAGCCACUGAUGCUCAUUUUACCCUCACCCAUCCCAAAGCGUAAAACACAGAGGCAAAACAAGAAGAAACCGUUCUGGAAUUCAUCAAUAACCAAACAAGGCAGCAAAAUAGCGAGAGAAAAAUCAUCAUAAAAUUGAUAAUAAAUGGGAUUCAACAGCUUCUGAGCUUUUCCCUCAGCAGCUCGGGCCCUCGUUCUGAUGGGUAUGUGUGGAAUACAGCACUGCAUCCCCAGCCCCGCCGGCAGCCGUGGGUGUAACCCGGCUCAUACAUUUGUGGCUCCGCGUUUCUUUUGAGCUCAGUGAACCUGAAUUUCCACAGGACUGCCGGAUCCCAACGCACGCUUCUCUGCAGCACGGGACAGUCGAGUCUGUGGCAUUCGGCCACGACAGCCCCUGCGAGAUCAUCCAGUUGUGUGAGUCUGUACAGCUCCGAGCCACCCCUGUGCACUUACAGCCAGGCGAACGAAUGCGCUCAGCCCAUUCUCGGUGGGCACAGCCUGAAAACCCACUGGUUCCCCUCCGUGGGACAAGCGAGUUUACAGACGAAGCAUUUUAAUGUCUCCUUAUCGCGGACACCUGCCUGGACUUCUCUCUUUCACAACUCGCUCUUUGAGGGCAAUUCAUCACGGUUAAUAGCGGGACCACGCUUGCAGUCGUUGCGGAGCACGGUCCCCCCCCCUCCCGGCCAUCUCCCGGCGGAGGGGGGCGGCCAUUUCUACCCGCGACGUUGGGCUCCGCCGUCCAUUUCCACGCGCUGAGAGCGCCCGCCGCUCCCCCAUCGCUCCGGGCCGCGGGGAAAGCCCCGCCCGCCGCCACCGUGCCCCG